AUGUAUCAUCACGAAAGUGUAUUUUUUUGUAGUGCCCCCAAUAAUCUUCACAUUCAGACGAUCUCGUCAGCGAUGACGCCAGCGUGGGGCAAUCCGAAAGGCUUGCUGCUUCGUCCCUCGGGGGAUAAUGUGUUUGUAGCUGAAUUCGGUACCCAGGCUGAUAGGUCCAGGGUGAUCGAAGGUUCUCCAUGGAUGGUGGGUAAACAUGUUGUGCUUCUCAAGGUGUUUGAUUUGGAUGUUCAACCUCUUCAAGUACAAUUUUAUCGCUUGGCCAUAUGGGCUCGCAUUAUGCAUUUGCCGCCAAGACUUAUGAAGGCCAAACUUGGGAUGGAAUUCGCCAAACCCAUAGGGCGGAUCUCCAAAGUGGAAUCUCAUGCAGAUGGUCGCUGCUGGGGGAGCUACAUGAGAGUGAGAGAUGAGAUUGCUGUUCAAGAACCGGUUGUUCGUUAUGUGACAGUCACUUUCGUAAAGCUCAGAACUAUGAAAACUUACUCAGUGAUGUAUGAACGGCUUCCUUUCUACUAUUUCUCCUGUGGGCUCCUAGGUCAUUCCUCAAUCCUUUGUCCAACUCCGGGCAUCAGGGACGAGAAUGGGGACCUGCCUUAUGCUGCAAAGAAGUUGCGUGUGACCGGUGAUUACUUGAGGAAGUCAGGUGGAUCGAAGUCUAGCAAUGCAUCAUCAUCGGCAGCUGGUGAGAGUAACAAUACUGAUGCUCGUGUGCCUUCUUCAGGCCGACCAAAGGCCAAAAACCACACAGGUUCUGCUAGUGGCGACGGGGAGGUGCCAUCUCCUCUCAAGAGGGGGGGGGGGUUCUUCUCAUGGACGUGGUCGGCCUGCUCGGGGCCGUGGUAA
rnacentral:rRNA from 1 species